UUCGGUGACGAUGGCGAAGAGGCAACACCCGUUCCCAUCCCGAACACGGAAGUUAAGCUCUUCAGCGCCGAUGGUACUGCUCGCGUAGGUGAGUGGGAGAGUAGGACGUCGCCGAAU
rnacentral:rRNA from 1 species